AUUUAGGUAUAGCGUCGAGAGAUCACUUGCGGAGGUAGAGCACUGGAUGGGCUAGGGCCCUUACCGGGGUACCAAACCUAACCAAACUCCGAAUGCCGCAACAUGUAUCUCGGCAGUCAGACUGUGGGUGAUAAGGUCCAUAGUCGAGAGGGUAACAACCCAGACCGCCAGCUAAGGUCCCCAAAUUCGCACUAAGUGGUAAAGGAUGUGGAGGGACAUAGACAACCAGGAGGUUGGCUUAGAAGCAGCCACCCUUUAAAGAAAGCGUAACAGCUCACUGGUCAAGUCAAUCCGCGCCGAAAAUGUAACGGGGCUCAAGUGCGAUACCGAAGCUGCGGAUCCGUCGCGAGUUCGCUCGUGAUGAGAUGGUAGGGGGAGCAUUCCAGUCGCCUGUGAAGGCAGAUCGACAAGAACUGCUGGAGGUCCUGGAAGAGCUUAUGCAGACACGAGUAACGAUAAAAAUGGGCGAGAAACCCAUUCGCCGUAAGUCUAAGGUUUCCUGGGUUAAGGUAAUCUUCUCAGGGUUAGUC
rnacentral:rRNA from 1 species